rnacentral:rRNA from 1 species
AUUGAACGCUGGCGGCAGGCUUAACACAUGCAAGUCGAGCCGGGGAGGUUGCUUCGGUAACUGACCUAGCGGCGGACGGGUGAGUAAUACUUAGGAAUCUGCCUAUUAAUGGGGGACAACAUCUCGAAAGGGAUGCUAAUACCGCAUACGCCCUACGGGGGAAAGCAGGGGAUCACUUGUGACCUUGCGUUAAUAGAUGAGCCUAAGUCGGAUUAGCUAGUUGGUGGGGUAAAGGCCUACCAAGGCGGCGAUCUGUAGCGGGUCUGAGAGGAUGAUCCGCCACACUGGGACUGAGACACGGCCCAGACUCCUACGGGAGGCAGCAGUGGGGAAUAUUGGACAAUGGGGGGAACCCUGAUCCAGCCAUGCCGCGUGUGUGAAGAAGGCCUUAUGGUUGUAAAGCACUUUAAGCGAGGAGGAGGCUCUUUUGGUUAAUACCCAAGAUGAGUGGACGUUACUCGCAGAAUAAGCACCGGCUAACUCUGUGCCAGCCGCCGCGGUAACAC